rfam:Zea mays cultivar B73 chromosome 10, whole genome shotgun sequence.
GCUGAGCAAGUAGCGAUUGCUUGUAACCUGAGCGGGGGCAAUAAGGAAGUGUGGAUGUCAAUCGUGGUGCAUGUGCUUGGGUCUAGUGCUACAAACUGUGGACCACCCAUUCCAAGUUGUGUAGUGGGUUUCGGGUGCCUUGGCGAACACCUUUGCAUCCUAACACCUAAAGUGGCGGACAUUGCGUGAGGCUGGCUUCACAGAGCAGCGAGUACCGCCCGCCCCCAGCGGUAGAAGGAUAAUGAGCCGCUAUGCUCUAGGCCAAUUAGGGAACAUGUGCCCUCUAUGGUAGACCACUAUCUUU